CUCCAACAUCCCGAAUAUUCCUUCCGUUUCCACUUCUUUCUCUCACAAAGCUGGGCUUUUCAUUUGCUUCCGGUAGUCCUCCUUUUGGUACACGAACUCCAGUUCUCUCUCCCUAUGUUGCACGAGCCAGAACAUAUGCUGUCUAUCCGUUCUGAUUCGAAGAAAUUCCUCAAGGGUUGUUCAUGUUGUUCUUCUCACAACAAAACUAAAAUUCCUUGAAUUUGCCUCAUCUAAGUCCAAUUCCACUCUGCCAUACCCAGGAACGCUUGCCUCCAUUCUGAUUUGAAGAAAUUUUAAACCCAGAAAGCUUGGGUUUCUUGAGAUCUCUGCCAUCACUGUUCCACCGAACUCGCCAAUAGCGACUGCUCUUUCGAACCAGCAAUAUGAUACAACAAGAGGGAGAUGAACAAGGGCAAUAAAGCAUGUAUGAGCUGGGUUUGAUGCAAUACGUGGAUAAAAGAUCUAAAAUGAAGGUAAAAAAGACCAGAGUCCAUCAGUACGUAACAAAAAUGCCACAUUAUAAGUAACAGCAUAAACAUGCAAAGAUCUAUAUAAUAACAUGUUACGAGUGUAAUAAUAAUGGAUUAACAAAUACUGAGCCAGACUAAUGAAUUUUGGUGUUUCAAU